ensembl:lncRNA
GCAGGUGUGUGUGCUGGUCCUAUGCAGGUGUGUGUGCUGGUCCUAUGCAGGUGUGUGUGCUGGUCCCAUGCAGGUGUGUGUGCCUCCCUAUGCAGGUGUGUGUGCUGGUCCUAUGCAGGUGUGUGUGCUGGUCCUAUGCAGGUGUGUGUGCUGGUCCUAUGCAGGUGUGUGUGCCUCCCUAUGCAGGUGUGUGUGCUGGUCCUAUGCAGGUGUGUGUGCCUCUCUAUGCAGGUGUGUGUGCUGGUCCUAUACAGGUGUGUGUGCUGGUCCUAUGCAGGUGUGUGUGCUGGUCCUAUGCAGGUGUGUGUGCUGGUCCUAUGCAGGUGUGUGUGCUGGUCCUAUGCAGGUGUGUGUGCUGGUCC